rnacentral:misc_RNA from 1 species
UUCUCUGAGACAACGCUGGAAUCAUGUUUAUGCACGUCUUUUAAAUUCGCCGACGGUGUUUGGAGAAGCGAUAUCGAAGUUUUUUUAUCAUUAAUUUUUUCCAUCACUAGUUUUAUAAGAUAAGAAAUAGCGGAAUUUGAAAAUGCCGAUUUCUGCGUUAGAUGUAAGAACAGCGAAAUUAAUUACUACUACGCAGAUAAUAACCUCCGUGUAUGCUGUGGUCAAAGAAUUGAUGGAAAACGCGCUCGAUGCCGAUGCAGACAAUAUUGAGAUCAAUCUUAUAGAUAACGGUACAUCUUUAAUAGAAGUGAAGGAUAAUGGUCAUGGCAUAUCUAAAGCAGAUGUAUUAUACGUAGGAUUACCUUCCUAUACAUCAAAAAUAUCAAGUUUCGAAGAUCUCGACACGUUACAAACAUUUGGAUUUAGGGGAGAAGCUCUGAAUGCAUUAUGCGCAGUAGCGGAAGUUAUCAUUAUAACAAAAACGGAAGAAGAUGUUGUUGGGACUUCAUAUAUAAUGAAUCAUAUUGGACAAAUUGUAAAACAUGAAUCUUGUCACAGAAGUACUGGUAAAAGAACUACUGUGCAAGCAAAAAAUUUAUUUAAACAAAUGCCUGUAAGGAGACAAAUAAUGACCGAUACGAGAAGAGCUAAUCAAGUUAUUAAAUUAUUGGAGACACUAUUACAUUGCUUUGGGAUAUGUAAAUCAAAUGUACGCAUUCAGUUUAGGGUGAACAAUAAUCUUGUAUUUACUAAACCAAGUCUAAAUAACAUUAAAGAAGCUGUGAAUCAUACACUUGGUAGAAAAAUUAUGUCGAAUAUGGAAUGGAUCGAGUCCAAGGAUACAGAUUUUGUUUUGCAAUUAAUGUUACCUUCAAAAAAGAUACAGGAUUUAUCGGAAGUUUCUCAUCCUGAUUUACAUUACAUUUUUGUAAAUAAUAGACCCAUUAAGCAUAAAAGUCUUGAAAAGCUAGUAAAUAAUAUAAUAUUAGAAUAUUUUAAACAAGAGUCACAUAGGAAAAAGGUGAUAUUUCUUGUGUAUAUUAUUUUGAAACCAAUAGAUAUUGAUGUUAAUCUGGAGCCAAAUAAAGAUACAAUUCUUUUUAAAGAUCAGAGUAAAGUAUUUGAUACUGUAGAUAAAUACAUGAAAAAAUAUUAUGGACUUAAAUCUGUGGAGAUUGUUGAACAAAAUGUGUCUAAUGACAUAUCCAUCUGUUAUGAAGAUUAUAUACUUAAUUCAAGUAAGGAUAUUAUCGAUACUGAGCGGCCUAUGUGUAAAAAGCGAAAAAUAGAUGCUCAAGAGAAAGUUAUACAAAAACAUAUCGUCAAAGAAAAGCCAGUGCACAAUAAUGGAUAUGAAACAUCUCUACAUAAACAACAGAAUAUCGAUCUCAUUCAAGAUCAACAGCAUUACAAAGAUGCAUUAGCUCAUAUACAAGCGCCAAAUUUAAGUGACUCUGAUUCAAAUGAUAUUUUCCCUGCUGUAACUUCGUCCAAUAAAAUGGAAGAAUGUGAAACUUUGAGCCAGUUACCUGUUAUAGAUCUUGGAGAAGAUUUUAAUUAUAUAGAAGAGAUUGGAAGCUGUAAUAUAUCUGCAAAUAAGAGUCAGGAUAAAUUAAAUGAUAAUGAAGAAAAGAAACAAAUUUCAAUAGAGACAUGGAGUAAAGGACAUAUCAUUGGUCUCAAGGGAGGUACAGAUAUACAAUCUGAUAUUGCUAUUGGAAAACAAUCCAAUGGUAACUUAAAUUUAGACCGUCAGAUUAAUGAGAUAGAAAAAUCGAAAUCAGAUACAAUGGAAUUGGAUAAAACACAUGUUGAUAAUAAAGAUCUUAAAUUUAUAAAACAUGUUAGAUCGCAAAUUACAAAAGAAAAUCCUACAUUAACAGCAGCUCAAACUGCAAAAAAAAUUACUGAAUUCUGGAAACAACUAUCAUCCAAUGAGCGUGGUUAUUAUCGAGAUAUUGCUCAUAACAAAGAAAAAGAACAGCAGGCUAAAACAAUUGAAGAAAGAGAUUAAAUUUUGAAAGUGAACAUAUAAUAGGUCGUUUGACACCUAACUUAUGGAUUGCUACGAUUUGUGAACAAAUAUGGAUCAUAGAUAUUGCUGGCUUGAUCAAUGGUUUGAAAAUUGCUGAUAUUGAUACAGAUAAGAUUGAUGCCAAGAGAAUUGAAUGUCUUCUCAAACAAUGGUUAUCGAAACG